rnacentral:snoRNA from 1 species
UUCCAUGAUGAUCAUUUCAUUCAAUAUACGCUGGAAAUUACCGGCUGAGAUCGCAAGAUCGACGACGAAAUCAAAAGGCUUUUCCUGAAG